rnacentral:snoRNA from 1 species
UGGUCAUUUCAAAGAGGAUAUGAAAGGCUGAAGCCAAGAGCUUUCAAUACUGUAACCAAAGAUUAGAGUUCUUCACAGAAAGCCAUAUUUACUUAAGAGGGCUGUAUUUUCUUUGGGCUACCAACCA